rnacentral:rRNA from 1 species
UACGUAGGGGGCUAGCGUUGUCCGGAUUUAUUGGGCGUAAAGAGCGUGUAGGCGGUUCGGUAGGUCCGUUGUGAAAACUCGAGGCUCAACCUCGAGACGCCGAUGGAAACCCUCGAACUAGAGUCCGGAAGAGGAGAAUGGAAUUCCUGGUGUAGCGGAGAAAUGCGCAGAUAUCAGGAAGAACACCGAUGGCGAAGGCAGUGGGCUGGGCCGGUACUGACGCUGAGGAGCGAAAGCGUGGGGAGCGAACAGG